rnacentral:rRNA from 1 species
CCUACGGGAGGCAGCAGUGAGGAAUAUUGGUCAAUGGGCGGGAGUCUGAACCAGCCAAGCCGCGUGAAGGAAGACGGUUCUUAGUAUUGUAAACUUCUUUUGUCGGGGAACAAAGGCGGAGACGCGUCUCCGGAUGAGUGUACCCGAAGAAAAAGCAUCGGCUAACUCCGUGCCAGCAGCCGCGGUAAUACGGAGGAUGCGAGCGUUAUCCGGAUUUAUUGGGUUUAAAGGGUGCGUAGGCGGAAUGACAAGUUCGCGGUGAAAUGGUCGGGCUCAACCCCGGGCCGGCCGUUAAACCUGUUUAUCUAGAGAGGGAGAGAGGUAGGCGGAAUUCGUGGUGUAGCGGUGAAAUGCUUAGAUAUCACGAAGAACGCCGAUUGCGAAGGCAGCAUACCG